UACGGAGGGUGCGAGCGUUGUCCGGAAUCAUUGGGCGUAAAGGGCGCGUAGGUGGCCCGGUCAGUUCGUGGUGAAAGCGCGGGGCUCAACCCUGCGUCGGCCAUGAAUACUGCCGCGGCUGGAGCACUGUAGAGGCAGGCGGAAUUCCGGGUGUAGCGGUGGAAUGCGUAGAGAUCCGGAGGACCCCUGAGGCGAAGGCGGCGUCCUGGCGCACUUCUGACGUUCAGACACGACAGCAUGGGGAGCGAACGGG
rnacentral:rRNA from 1 species